rnacentral:rRNA from 1 species
CCUACGAGGCUGCAGUGGGGAAUAUUGGACAAUGGGCGAAAGCCUGAUCCAGCCAUGCCGCGUGUGUGAAGAAGGCCUUCGGGUUGUAAAGCACUUUCAGUGGGGAAGAAAGCCUUGGGGCUAAUACCCUCGAGGAAGGACAUCACCCACAGAAGAAGCACCGGCUAACUCCGUGCCAGCAGCCGCGGUAAUACGGAGGGUGCGAGCGUUAAUCGGAAUUACUGGGCGUAAAGCGCGCGUAGGCGGUCUGAUAAGCCGGUUGUGAAAGCCCCGGGCUCAACCUGGGAACGGCAUCCGGAACUGUCAGGCUAGAGUGCAGGAGAGGAAGGUAGAAUUCCCGGUGUAGCGGUGAAAUGCGUAGAGAUCGGGAGGAAUACCAGUGGCGAAGGCGGCCUUCUGGACUGACACUGACGCUGAGGUGCGAAAGCGUGGGUAGCAAACAGGAUUAGAUACCCCGGUAGUC